rnacentral:lncRNA from 10 species
CUAGUACCCCCACCCCAAUGCCUCAUGUCCCAUUGAUCUUCACCUCUGUUAUUUAGAACACCUGGGACUCAGUCCGUGAAGCAGGAUCCCACCAGGUGGAGGUGCAGGAGACAGUACUGAUGAGCUGUGGGCUGCACAGAUGAGAAAAUCCACCCAAAUGGACUCCAUGGCCAGGAAGUGAGUGAGCCCUUGAUGGAUAGCCAAGGUCCUUGUCUCUGUUAGAGUGGAUUGUGGCAAAAUUGGUGGUUAUCAGUCUGUUUUGAGGGGCCCAUCUCCCCACAAGGAGAAGUGAGCUAGAAGCAAAGACAGAGACCGCUUCAUUUUAGGACAGUUUCCUUCCUCUAUCCACAGCUCAGCAUCAGAUAGAAGCCUGGGGCGUUUAUCUGUUGAGCAUGGGACGCAGCUUGGACAGUGGUUUGCUUUCCUCUCUGAAAUGCACUUUUCCAAGGCCAAAUCGCAGAUAAGCAGCUUCCCCCUGGAGUACCCCUGUUUUAUGCGGGGUAGGGAGGGCCGUGGGUGCGAUUAUGCUGGUCUGGAAGCACACAUUGACUUUAGAUAGUCCACACAGUGCAUGCUCAGUGGAAAAUCGAGAGGUGUUGUGCAUCUUGAGUCACCACCCUCUCUCACCACAGGGUCAAUCAUAUGGAACCUGAUGCUGUCGGUGAACCUGAACAUGGACAGAGUGUGGGGGGCUCAGUGGAGUCCACAGAAGCCCCCUCCCAGAAUAAGGAGGCUGCUGGCCGGAGCUGAGUGCAGGGAGGGAGGCAUCUUAUCAGCUCCCGGACCACACUUGCCGUCCUUCCCUCUGGAGGCACCACCCAUUUGCUGUGUGCCAGUAGCAGCAUCAUUGA